rnacentral:tRNA from 2 species
GCUGUCGUGGCCAAGUGGUUAAGGCGAUGGACGAGAAAUCCAUUGGGGUCUCCCCGCACAGGUUCGAAUCCUGUCGACUACG